GUGUAGUGCUGAGAAAUUAAUUAUGUAUAUUUCUACUUUUUUUCCUAGGCUAGGGCCCAUGUAGUGUGCGGGGGUGACCAGAAUCUCAGUACCAUGUGACUAACCCCUCCCCUUCCCCUCCUCUCCUCAGUGUCCUUUUGUCCUUGCUUUCCCCCCCCCCUCUCAGCGUCACUGUGUUGACCACUUCUAUAACAAAUUUACCCCGUGAAUAAACGUAAUUUCUCCUGCUUGGCCAGGUUAUAGAGGCGAAUUUUUCACCUAAUCCCAGAGAAUGGGGAGCCCUUAAUAUGAUAAAAUUAAUUCUAUAAUGGUAAGGUCUUAAACCAGCCCAAACAAAUCCCAGAUAAUUACGCCGCGCCAAUGAGGUUGACGAAUCUGAUAAGUCUUCUUUGCUUCGCUGCCCUGUCACCCCUGUUGCUACGCAAGCCGGGAAGAGAUACCAGACUUUGACUAAUUCCCCAAUUGAUUUCAAAAGUCCAUUGAAUUAAACUUCUUAAAGUAACAACUAUAAAGUAAACAGUAACUUAAUUAUUCAUAUUUUUCAUCCCUGAACUCACAACCUAGUCGCCCCCCCCCCCACUAAAAACAAAAUUAUAACUUAAUAAAUUUCCCCAUUGGAAACCUUUAUCCUUAGUUUCCCGCCGAUUUCCUCACAAGCAAAGCCAGUCUCUCUCGGAUUCUCCUCAGGUGAGCAUGCAGUCUGAUAGUCUCCCCCUCCAUUCCUGUAAUAUUAAAUAAUGAGCUGUCCAAAAUGCCAGUUCCACAAAAAAAAUAAAGACACAGGCAUCUGAACUUCAUCCCACUAAAGUUGAUGAGAGAUGGGAGGUGCUUGGUAUUGACUUGUUCACUAAGUGGUUGGUAGUGUUUCCUCUAAAGGACAAGUCUGCGCCCAGCAUAGCGACAGCUAUAGUCGACAUGAUAUACACACAUGGUCCUCCUCUGAAGAUAAUUACAGACCAAGGAAGGGAAUUUAUUAAUGAAGUGAAUAAGAAUGUCCUUGGUCUCUUCAAUAUAAAGAACAUGAUGACCUCCGCAUAUCACCCUCAGACUAACAGACAGGAUGAGAGGACCAAUCAAACCUGCCAUUGCUAAGUUCUGCAAUGAAAAUCAGGAUGAUUGGGAUCAGCAAGUUUAAAGGUUCUUGAAUGCUGCAGUGUAUGGAAUAAACAUGAGUCGUCAGACAACCACCAAACGUAUCCCAUUCUUCCUGAUGUAUUUAUGUGUGGCCAGGGCUCCACACAUAAUAAAUACGCUACAUGGAAACUCAGCAGUGACACUUGGUGAAGAAAACACAGAAACACAAUCAAAUGCAGCCAUGGAUUUGUGUUUACAAAUUACCAAAACUGUGAAAGAAAACAUAGAGAUCACAAAAGAAAAUGAAAGUUGAGUAAGCUGAGAGAAAGAAGAAGGGUGUGAAAACCUUUGACUUUUCUGUUGGUGUUAAGAGGAGAAACAACAGAAAGCAAGAAAGAAAGGGGGACAGACUUCAAAAGAAAUGGCUGGGUCCCUUCAUCAUCAGAGAAAUUUCUGA